rnacentral:rRNA from 1 species
GGUCAAGUUACUAAGGGUGUAUGGGGGAUGUCUUGGCGUCGAGAGGCGAAGAAGGACGUGGCUGACUGCGAUAAGCCCGGGGCAGGUGUCUAGCAACCGUUAAUCCCGGGAUUUCCGAAUGGGGCAACCCACCGUCACUGGGCAACCAGAUGGCGGUACCUGCGGCUGAAUGCAUAGGCCGUAUGGAGCGAACGCAGGGAACUGAAACAUCUCAGUACCUGUAGGAAAAGAAAUCAACCGAGACUCCGCAAGUAGCGGCGAGCGAACGCGGAACAGCCCAAACCAGGGGGCUUGCUCCCUGGGGUUGCGGGCGUCAACAUAGCAAGGUGCCGGUUAGUGGAACGAUCUGGAAAGUUCGACCACAGAAGGUGAUAGUCCUGUACGCGAAAACCGAAUCCUUGUGUUGGCGUUCCAGAGUAGCACGGAGCUCGUGAAACUCUGUGUGAAGCUGGGGGGACCAUCCUCCAAGGCUAAGUACUACUCGACGACCGAUAGUGGAAAGUAGCGCGAGCGAACGAUGAAAAGAACCCCUAUUAGGGGAGUUAAAAGGACCUGAAACCAUACACCUACAAGCGGUAGGAGCCCUAUGAUCCGCCUCGGCGGAUAACGGGUGACUGCGUGCCUUUUGCAUAAUGAGCCGGCGAGUUGUUGUCUGUGGCAAGGUUAAGCACUUCAAGUGCGGAGCCGUAGCGAAAGCGAGUCUUAAAAGGGCGAUUCAGUCGCAGGUAACACGACGCGAAGCCAAGUGAUCUACCCAUGGCCAGGUUGAAAGGGAUGUAAAAAUCCCUGGAGGACCGAACUCACUAACGUUGAAAAGUUAGGGGAUGAGCUGUGGGGAGGAGUGAAAGUCUAAUCAAACUUGGAGAUAUCUCGUUCUCUCCGAAAUAGCUUUUGGGCUAGCCUCGAGUAAUUGCUUUACGGGGGUAGAGCUACUGAAUGGGGAUAGGGGGCCACCAGCCUACCUACCUCAACCAAACUCCGAAUACCGUAAAGUCUAUCUCGGGAGUAAGACCGCGAGCUAUAACGUCCGUGGUCAAGAGGGAAACAACCCUGAUCGCCAGCUAAGGUCCCGAAGUUCUGCUAAGUUCUUAAGGAAGUUGAAUUGCUGUGACAGCCAGGAUGUUGGCUUAGAAGCAGCCACCAUUUAAAAAGUGCGUAAUAGCUUACUGGUCGAGCAGUUCGGCGCCGAUAAUGACCGGGAAUAAGCAGAACACCGAAGCUGCGGAUUUACAGACUGCUGCGGUGGUUUGUAAGUGGUAGGAGAGCGUUGCUAUCCGCGUGGAAGCCAUACGGUAACGAGUGGUGGAGCGAUAGCAAGUGAUUAUGCCGGUAUGAGUAACGAGAAAACAGGUGAGAAUCCUGUUCGCCGAAAGCCUAAGGUUUCCUGGGGAAGGUAAAUCCGCCCAGGGUUAGUCGGGUCCUUAGUCGAGGCCGAAAGGCGUAGACGAUGGGCAGCAGGUUAAUAUUCCUGCACCAUGUUGCUGGACGAAGUCAGUGACGCAUCUUCAAGGGUCAUCCCACGACUAGUCGUGUGGGUCCCGCAAGGGCGAGGCCGAUUUGCGAUGCCGAAGUGGCUGGAGAAGAUGCCGAGAAAUAGCUGGCGUAGGUUGAAAGCAGCAUGUCCGUACCGCAAACUGACACAGGUAGGCGAGGAGAGUAUCCUCAGGCGCUCGAGAGAACCGUCCUUAAGGAACUAGGCAAUUUUCCCCCGUAAGUUCGCGAUAAGGGGUCCCUCCGCGUGUGCUUGAUUUAUCAGGUGCAUGGCGAGGGCGCAGAGAAAUGGCUCUGGCGACUGUUUAUCAAAAACACAGUUCUGUGCCAACUCGUAAAGAGGAUGUAUACAGAAUGACGCCUGCUCGGUGCCGGAAGGUUAAGGGGAGGGGUCAGCCGCAAGGCGAAGCUCUAAACUGAAGCCCCGGUAAACGGCGGCCGUAACUAUGACGGUCCUAAGGUAGCGAAGUUCCUUGUCGGGUAAGUUCCGACGUGCAUGAACGGCGUAACGACUGGAGCAGUGUCUCAAGGACGGACUCGGUGAAAUUGUAGAUGUGGUGAAGAUACCACAAUCCCGCAGCAACACGGAAAGACCCCAUGAACCUUUACUGUAGCUUGGUAUUGAUGCCUGGCAUGGCAUGCGUAGGAUAGGUGGGAGGCUGUGAAGCUCUGGUUCCGGCCAGGGCAGAGCCAACGUUGAAAUACCACCCUUGUUAUGUUAGUCACCUAACCAUGACCCGUGAAUCCGGGCGUAGGACAGUGCUAAGUGGGCAGUUUGACUGGGGCGGUCUCCUCCCAAAAAGUAACGGAGGAGUUCAAAGGCACACUCAGCGUGGUUGGCAAUCACGUUUAGAGCGCAAGGGUAGAAGUGUGCUUAACUGCAAGACUCAAUGCGUCGAGCAGAUGCGAAAGCAGGACCUAGUGAUCCGGCGGUUCCGUAUGGAAGGGCCGUCGCUCAACAGAUAAAAGGUACUCUGGGGAUAACAGGCUGAUGACUCCCGAGCGUUCAUAGCGGCGGAGUCGUUUGGCACAUCGAUGUCGGCUCAUCACAUCCUGGGGCUGAAGGCGGUCCCAAGGGUCGGGCUGUUCGCCCGUUAAAGUGGUACGCGAGCUGGGUUCAGACCGGCGUGAGCCAGGUCGGUCCCUAUGUGCUGUGGGCG